rnacentral:rRNA from 1 species
UGCCCGCCGCGCGCGGCGGGCGGGGCGGGGGCACGGGGGACUCCUACGGGAGGCAGCAGUGGGGAAUCUUGGACAAUGGGCGCAAGCCUGAUCCAGCAAUGCCGCGUGUGGGAAGAAGGCCUUCGGGUUGUAAACCACUUUUGGCAGGAAAGAAAUCGUCCGUGUUAAUACCAUGGAUGGAUGACGGUACCUGCAGAAUAAGCACCGGCUAACUACGUGCCAGCAGCCGCGGUAAU